rnacentral:rRNA from 1 species
UUAGACAGCUAGGAUGUUGGCUUAGAAGCAGCCAUCAUUUAAAGAAAGCGUAAUAGCUCACUAGUCGAGUCGGCCUGCGCGGAAGAUGUAACGGGGCUGAAAUAUAGCACCGAAGCUGCGGCAUCAGAAUUUAUUCUGUUGGGUAGGGGAGCGUUGUGUAAGCGGAAGAAGGUUCAUCGAGAGGUGGGCUGGACGUAUCACAAGUGCGAAUGCUGACAUAAGUAACGAUAAAACGGGUGAAAAACCCGUUCGCCGGAAGACC